UACGGAGGGUGCAAGCGUUAAUCGGAUUCAUUGGGCGUAAAGGGUGUGUAGGUGGCGCGCUAAGUCGGGUGUGAAAUUUCGGAGCUUAACUCCGAAACUGCAUUCGAUACUGGCGUGCUUGAGGACUGGAGAGGAGACUGGAAUUCAUGGUGUAGCAGUGAAAUGCGUAGAGAUCAUGAGGAAGACCAGUGGCGAAGGCGGGUCUCUGGACAGUUCCUGACACUGAGACACGAAGGCCAGGGGAGCAAACGGG
rnacentral:rRNA from 1 species